rnacentral:rRNA from 1 species
GUACCUACGGGAGGCAGCAGUGGGGGAUAUUGCACAAUGGGGGAAACCCUGAUGCAGCGACGCCGCGUGUGGGAAGACGGUCUUCUGGAUUGUAAGCCACUGUCCCCAGGGACGAAAAUGACGGUACCUGGGGAGGAAGCUCCGGCUAACUACGUGCCAGCAGCCGCGGUGAUACGUAGGGAGCAAGCGUUGUCCGGAAUUACUGGGUGUAAAGGGAGCGUAGGCGGGGAUGCAAGGUGGGUGUCAAAACUACCGGCUCAAC